rnacentral:rRNA from 1 species
GACGAACGCUGGCGGCGUGCUUAACACAUGCAAGUCGAACGAUGAAGCUAGAGCUUGCUCUGGUGAAUUAGUGGCGAACGGGUGAGUAACACGUGAGUAACCUGCCCCGAACUCUGGGAUAACUGCUGGAAACGGUAGCUAAUACUGGAUACGACCUACGAAGGCAUCUUCUGAAGGUGGAAAGAAUUUCGGUUCGGGAUGGACUCAGGGCCUAUCAGCUUGUUGGUGAGGUAAUGGCUCACCAAGGCGACGACGGGUAGCCGGCCUGAGAGGGUGACCGGCCACACUGGGACUGAGACACGGCCCAGACUCCUACGGGAGGCAGCAGUGGGGAAUAUUGCACAAUGGGCGCAAGCCUGAUGCAGCAACGCUGCGUGAGGGAUGACGGCCUUCGGGUUGUAAACCUCUUUUAGUAGGGAAGAAGCGAAAGUGACGGUACCUGCAGAAAAAGCACCGGCUAACUACGUGCCAGCAGCCGCAGUAA